rnacentral:snRNA from 1 species
CAGCCAGGCAAUGAGCACAUCGCGAAUUAUUCUUUCGCCUUUUACUAAAAAAUAAAUACCGUGUGCUCGUUGCAAAUAGUGGCAUACGCCUACAUUCAGAAUGCUCAAUAUUUGUUUAAAAU